rnacentral:rRNA from 1 species
GGCGAACGCUGGCGGCGGGCUUAACACAUGCAAGUCGAACGGAAAGGCCCUGCUUUUGUGGGGUGCUCGAGUGGGGAACGGGUGGGUAACAGGUGUGUAACUUGCCCUUGACUUGGGGAUAACUUCAGGAUACUGGGGCUGAUAGCGGAUAGGAGCUUCUGCUGCAUGGUGGGGGGUGGCACGUUUCGGUGGCUGGGGAUGGACUCGCGGCUUAUCAGCUUGUUGGUGGGGUAGUGGCUUAGCAAGGCUUUGCCGCGUCGCGGGCCUGGGAGGGUGGCCGGACACACUGCGACUGGGAUGCGGCCCAGACCACUACGCGAGGCAGCAGUGGGGUAGAUAGCACAAGGGGCGGAGGCCUAAUGCAGCAACGCCACGUGCGGGAAGACGUCCUUCGCUUAGGAUACCGCUUCCGCCUGUGACGAAGCGAGAGUGACGGUAAUGGAUAAAUAAGCACCGGCUAACUACGUG